AGGACCUCACUUGCACGACAUGACUCAAAUGUGGCUCUUCCUCUUCCUGCUGUCUGCUCCCAGAUGUGUCCUGUCCCAGGUGAAGCUGCAGGAGUCUGGCCCAGGACUGGUGAAGCCCUCACAGACCCUCUCCCUCACCUGCACUGUCUCUGGUUACUCCAUCACCAGUGGUUACUACUGGUAUUGGAUCCGCCAGAGCCCAGGGAAGAGGCUGGAGUCGAUGGGGCGCAUACGCUAUGAUGGAUACACUGACUACAGCCCCUCCCUCAAGAGCCGUGUCACAGUUUCCCUCAGGGAACCUCUGGAUCCUGAUUCUUUGCUGACUUCUGAGUCUCUGA